AAUACCGAAGAAUGAAGAAAAAAUACUGAAAAAUAUGGAAGAAUGAGAGAAAACUACAGAAGAAUGAAGAAGCAAUAUCAACUAAAAAACUAAAAAAAACGCCAAAACCAUUAAUAAAAUGCUGACAGUCAACUUUGCCACUGUCGUUUCUCCAUGCUGAGUGCCAAACUGUCAGGUGGAUGGAUGAUCUCCCUGUGUGUGGAUGCACUCAUGGCCCCUCCUGGGGCAGGAUGCCGGGCUGGCACGAGGGCAUGGGAUAAAUCCCACAGCCUGCAGCAGGCUGGCCCUCCCUGCAAGGAGCAGGCAUCUGAACAAGGGCCGAAAAGUCACGUUUUGGGGGUGCCAUGAGGUGGCUCAUUUUCAGGGUUGGUGGGUUGGCUGCACCUCCUGCCCUGUCAGUACCGGCCACUGGGUUUUGGGGGUGGGAUUUGCCAGGUCAGACUCAUCACGGCCCCUGGGCUUUCUGCAUGGGGAUGGAGAGAAAUGGGGCUGUAAGAGUGAUCUUGUCCCCAAAGCGGGAUCUCCAAUGGCUGAUCGUGUUGUAAAUGGGAUCCACAGGUUCCUCCUAGAGGCGAUAAGGGGGCGGUUGGAUGCUGAAUUUGGUGACAGAUCAUCUGAAAGUGUUGUCUGCAACUGCACAGCCCCCCUUGGAGCAGCGUUUUUGGGAUGCUGCAGCCCACUCUGCCCCAGCAGCCAGACCCAAAAAUGUUCCAGUAAAAAAGUACCUGUCCAGGGGUUGGGUCAGUGGCAGCAGUGGGGCACAGCUCCACCUCCAGCUCAGCAACCACAGUUUUUUGGGUGUUCCCCCAAGAUCUCACCAGGUCAGCUCACAGCACCUUCCUUGGAUGGAUUUGCCCCUAAAUAUCAGAUUUGCUUCCAGUGGCAGAUGGAAAUGGGGGACUGGGAGAAUCCCACCUCAGUUCCUCUGCUUGGUUGAUUCCAGGAGCAGUUUUCCUAGCCCAAGCUGGCAUCAGGCCAAAGUCAGAAGCUUUUGCCUGAUGCCAGGGUGCUCCAUGGCUCUGCCCCGGCUGGGUGAGCUGGGGUGAAGCAGAGCUGUAGGGCCGCUCCCCUCCUGCCUCAGGCUGCCUCAUCCUGCCUGGGAAAAGCCCUUCUCUUGAGGAUGUCACCGACUGUCACACACCAGGAGCUACCAGAGCACCCUGAGCCCAGCGUGGCCACCAACCUGCAGCCACCUUGUCCAGGUGAAGGCGAGAGGGAGAGGGCUGAGCUGGCAAAGUCCCUGCACUUCCUUCAUUCAAGUGUCACGCUGGGACACAGCGCUCAGAAAGUGGCUUUGCUGGCACCCAGGGGCCACGCAGCUGGGAACACUUGAAAACAAAAGCCAGCAAAAUCCAGCCCGUGCUUGGCAGCCUAUUUGGCUUAGUGGGAGUUAUUUGAAGUUAGCCCAGUGCAAGAGCUGGCUCUGCUCCUCCAUCCAUUGCAGGAUGAGGACAGAGGGGAGCAAUGGAGCUGGGUUAGGGCUCGCUUCUCCUUCCCACACCCUUGGGAGCUGUCGGGAGAGUCAUUUUUUGCACAAGGAAAACCUCCUCCCAGGCUUGGAUUUUACCAUUCUGCACAGUCCACCAUGAAAAAAGCUUUUCAUAAAAGAGCCCUAUGGUCCCCAUGUCCAUGCAAGUUAAACAAGGAGGAGGUUUGUCUUUGGGCACAGGGACAUCUCUGCCUGUGUGAUAACCCCAGCAGCCCCUCUCCCUCAGCAGAAAUUCCCUCAUUGCCACAUUUUAAGCAUUUUACCACCAAGGCUCUCAGUCUCUGGGUGCUGCAUUAAGUGCUCGCAGUCCCUUGCUUCUGUAGUGGGCAGCACAUUUAAGUCUCACCGCUUCAAGCAACAAUUGCCAUUUAAAUGUCCCCAGCUCAGCAGAGCGAGGCCGGGGUGAGCUGAGCUGCUGGGACACCUCUUGCUCCUUCCCAGCAGUGUUCUUGCUCUCCACUGCUUCGAGGAGAACAAAAGUUCUUCCUCAGUCCAUGUGGAGGAGCUGCUCCAGUUUUUAAUUGGAUACAGUCUGCUUGCUCCCAUGUGGCCACAGGCACUGCUCCAAAUCCCGGCUCUGCCUGCACAGUGUGCUCAGGCCCUCUCCUUGCAUGCAACCUGACUCAGCUGCCUCCCUCCAAAGCUGUGCAUCCCCCAGAACUUUAGCACUGUCUUUCCCAACAGAUGAUCCUCUUCACCAGCAAAUGCUGCUGCAGAGAACCAAGUCAGGUCGGAGUCUACUCAUCCCUGUUUGGAGAUAAGCAAAAGACCACAGAAAUACCUUGCAAGGAAGCUGUGGACAAAGAGGAGACAAUAUUGCAACUACAACCCUGUGAGUGUAGAGCAAAAUGGGGAGCUUCAUGGCUCUCCUGCACAACUCUUUAGCCCAGUUGACCUUUUUUCCCCCAAAAGACCGAUGCUGUUGACACAUCUUUGCCUGACAAACCCUCAGAAGUCCCAGGUCAUUAUUGUAGAGACUGCUGCUAACUGCUAAAAGUUAGCACAAAGUUAGCAGCUUUGUGUUGCAGUUAGCACCUACCUUUAGAAAACAAAAAAAAACCCGAGGGCAAUUGUCCAGCCCUUUCUCCAACCUGCCACAAUUCUUUCCCAGUCCUGCUUCUGUCUUCCUGAGCACUCAGUGCUGAUUCCAGCUUGAUACCAUCAGAAGCACUGGGGCCUCACUCCCCCUUCCACGACCUCUGCUGCCAGCAGAAGCACCAAAUUGGACUUGAUGCAAGACUAAAGCCCCUGGACCCUCAAAUUAAUUCUGCUUCACAGGGUGGGAUAAUCACUGAAAUUAGAUUGAGGUAUUUUUUUCUCCUGACCAGCACGGGCUGGAGACAAUCUGUCACCUGCAAAUUUUGUCCCAAGGAUUAGAUAAGCUUUUUAGGGCAUAGAUCCCCAAACUCCUCUUUUUCUUGCAACUUAGAGGCACUGUUUGGCAAGAGACAGCAGAGGAGCAACAUCCCACAUGCCAUUGGUGCUUUCAGGACGCUGCUGUGGCUCCCAGAGUUUAUCAAUGAACUCCCUGCACUGGAGCAGCAGUUUCCCACAGGCCCAGAGCACCCAGUGCUCUGUAACACCAGGGCACCCACAGCUCUGGCUGCCAUCCCGAGGGGAGCAAAGAGAACUCUCAUCUAGCAAAGAGAAAUAACGUGAGCAGGAGGCGCUUCUGCCUCCUAAGCAGUAUAUCCAAAUAUCCAAAUACUACUGCAAAAGCAAGUAAACAAUGAUAAAUAUUGUUAUCUUGAGGGAGGCUGUUGACACUAACGUGCUUGACUUUGCAGGCUGAAUGCUGGCAGGGGCCAACAGCAGCUCAGUGGAGGGGCAGUCCUGCUGCUAAGGCACUGUGACCCCCUCUGCUCGACUUUGCAAGGAUAAGGGAUGAAGCUGGACUCAAACAGUGUCCGAGCACUCAGCUGAUUCAUAUUGCAGAUAGAAAAAGCUUUCACUGAAGAUUUGCUAACAGAAAGUCAAAAGUGCCACCCCAGCAAAGGAAACUGUGCCACCUCUCCCUAUGUCUCUUGGCAGUGAAAUGUGUUCUUUCAUGUUUACUAGUUCUGGCAUUCAAUGCAAAUCAAACCCAACAAAAAAGAAGUUUUUGCUUGCUCCUUCGUUUCUUUCCUCUUCCUCCUCCCUGAACUAUUUUUUCCCCAUAUUCUCUCUCUGGUUCAUUCUUCAUGAACCAGCAGAAAGCUGGGUCUGUUAAGGAAUUUUACUGCCUUGGUAGAAACUCUGCAAAUCUACAUAAGCAGAAAAUCUUGUCACGUCUCCUCACAAAUUGAAAAGGAGAGCUAAAUGAAAUCCCACUGGGAUGCUCUGGCUACCUCAGUGCAACAAGGUUCAGCUUAAGCUGCUUGUUUCACUUGCUGCAUUGCCUGGUUUUAAUCCAAUUUGGUUCGGGACACAUAAAAUAGCCGCUUUUCCGCCCUCCAGGAAGCAGCGGGUGCAACCAGAGCCGAGCAAAGUGCUGGCUGGUCCUGCCUCAUGUGCACACACCCCAAGCUGUGCUCACUUCUUGGCUUGUGCUUUAGCACUACCUUUUGUCAUCUGCAACGUUUUUGUCAAAAUGUCACCUGAGUCACUACCAACCAACAGCUAAAGUGCAACGGUUGGUGCUAUGGCAGCAAAGCCCCCAUGAUGCAGAGGCCAGGAGCUGGCUGCUUGCUCAUCCACUCUUGGUCACCCCAUGGAUUACCACAGCCUAACACCACAUCAUCCCUGUUAGAGGGAGACAUGGAGGACAGCCCUCCUCUGAUGGCUCUGACUCCAGCUUCCCCUUCCCCACCAGCCGCCCCUCUGACACCACACCUCCCCAAGGAGCAGCAGGGGCUGCAUUGUUUCCAUCCAAGCAGCCACCACAGCCAGCUCUGUCCAGCACUGUGCUGUCCCCCAGGCCUGCUUUUACAGGAAUUAAAAUUAAAAAAGGUGCUGCCCUGCAACAGCCUGGAGAGAAAAAUGUUAAGAAGUGCCUGUACACAGCUCCGAGUAAGGCCCGGGCUGCAGGAGCCCCAGCACUGCCUGGCUUUACCUGCACCUCAGCCCAGACUCUGCAGGAGCUGCCGAGGGGCCGCCCUGCUCCACGAGAACAAAAUCUUCCCAGAGACAGAGGCAGAAAUAGCCACAGAGUGGCUUCAUGCCUAAAACACCAGCAAAGCAGCUCAGCCUCUCAUGACAGCUGCCCUGCACAGUGAAGAGACACUGAUUUGUUCCUUCCUUCCAUCCCAGAAUCUUGCCCCUUUGACUCCAGACAGAGAUGAGCAAAUAUUUAAUUAACACGUUUGACCUUUUAUCAGUGCUCCAUGCUGAUGGCUUCCUGCACACCAGCUAGGUGUGCUUUCCUGCAGCCUGCUGCAAACCUGGAAAUAGAAUGGUGUUACAAGGUUUCUUCACAUAUCUUUGAACAUUUUCUGAAACUCUGGAUUUGAAAACUGAGAACAUGAAAGAGUCAUCUUCCACUAUUAUUUUAAUAGCAUUUAAGUUUGUAUCUUUUAUUCCUGUUGAGUUGUAUAAAAAUAGAAAACAAGUGUUACCUAGAAAAUCAAAAGUCAAAGGAUUCAAAUCAAAACAUUUUAAUUCUUUUUCCUCUGUAUGUUUAAAAUUUUACAGAUUUCUUGUGGUAACACAGAGAGUUGACUGAACAUAAAUGAUGCCUCAGAAUAGCUGAGAACAGAGAGUAGAGAGCAUCCUGCUCCUUCUGGUUUAGCUGGCAUUACCAGAGACCUCACAAUGUCAUUCUACCAGCCCUUAUUUUCCUGAUCAUUGUUAAAAUGCCAAAAAUUCUCAUGUCAGUGAUUUAUUUUCAGUUUACAGGAUAUGCAGGUGUAUGGCCUGACCCCUUCCCUUCCCCUCACCUGGCCAGAGCAGGAUGGUUCAGCAAGGAUUCCUCAUUCAAUUAACACAUCCAUUAUUUCAGCCUGAAGCUCAGCGAGACUUGGAGGUAAUACAAAGCAGGAGAAACCUCACCUGCAUAAGGGAACACUUGGUUAUGUUCACAGGACAUGCACUGUAUGUCACUGAGACCUAUUUUUAAAGUACAGCAGCACCAGUUAUAUUUGAUAACUAUAAACGUUUUAUUCUUAUAUAAAAAUAUCGGAACAAAAUACUAUACAGAAAAAUAUAAAGUUAAGUCGAGAUCUUCUCAAUCCCUUUUAAGACAAACAGGCUCACGCUGUGCAAGCCCCAGACUUUCAAAAAUAAAAUUAUCCUGGCAGUUGAAGUGGUGGCACAACCAGAGGCAGAGCUGUGCUGAGGAAUAAGCUUCUAAUACAGGGAAUUUGUCUUGCAGCUUCCAAUAUCCUUGCAAGUUUGUUUUUGUUACACAUAAAACAGAACCCAAGUCUUCCUUCAUGGUCUGACCUGGAGAUAAACGUUCUCCCACCCCUCAGAGUAUUUACAGGAAGGUGCUAAGAGCCCACCUGGCCAGGACACAUCCCCAGGCUGCGACCCCACCCCGUGGGCUCACAUUGACACAAACCAGUGGCUGCAGCACCCUCACACAAACACAACUGGAACCUCUCUGUCACCAGCUGUGAGCUGGAAACCACGACUUAGGGAGGCAAAAGUCAGUGAAAGCAAGCUGAUGAAAUCUCUGAGCUUCUACCAAUUCCUCAAAACAGAAAAAACCCAACUCCCCUCCCCCAGACAACAAAAGCAGCCAGCAUUCUUUUCCAAGGUACUGGCUGUUUCAGUACAUUCCUGUCUUUAAGGAAGGACACUGUGGACUGCAGCAGCCAACAGUGUAAGAAUCAUCUCCCUCCUCUUUACCUGUACUUCUCCAGUACUAAUUUCACUUUCCACAACCAAACUGUCCAAGUUUGCUUGCAGAUGAAGCAGGAACAAGAGGAGGGAAUGGAGAAGGCAGAGAAUUAAGGAAUUACAGUGCAAAUUAUAUGCUCAUAGGAAAAAAAAACAAACACAAAAGAAAAACGUUCUCUGUAGAUUUUCCAGGCCUGUUCUCUCCAUUGCCUCAAAAUAGGGUUGGUGUUUGUCAGGGAAUAAGUUCCAACUGACCUUAGACCUUCAACAGAAGGUGGGAGUGUGUUCCCCAAAGCAGUGAACCUGCUGUCACACUGUGUAUCAGCAAUGCCUGCGAGAUGCAACAUCACCACCUUUUCAUCACCCACUAAUCACGGCAGGACUCCACCAGAAAGUGCAGUGGGAGUCUCAGGUCUUCACGUUCCUCUUAUAUUAUUCAUUUGUAGCAGAGAUUUGCAAGUCCCUGUGCUGUAUUCACAGUGGAAAAAAAGUGCAGCAACACAUGUUGGAGACACUCCAGGAAUUAUUGCUCUGCUGAGGCAGCUUGUGGAGUCUGACUAAAGAAAAUUGGCCGAAGAAGAAAUAAGGGCAGGCCUAAAGAGGAAGACAGAGAAAGAAAGGAAUUGCUCCAGGCACCAACACAUCCUAGUUCCUGCCUACUGCCAGAAAGGUGCUGUUAUGGAUCCUGUCUCCUGUAAGCAGCACGAGCAGCAGUUGUGUAGGGUUGAUCAGCAGCAUAUUUGGACAGUCUGUGGCAGGUGUUGGGACAGUUCACUGCCACCUGUAGAUAUUCACCACCUUCUCUGUCAGAGUAGCCAGGAGGUGGGUUUGGUUCACUUCCAAGGGGCAGAUAUCCAGCACAGGCAGGUCAGCUGGCAGCUUCUGCAACAAGGAACCACUUCCAGCAUCCCAGAGCUGUGGAAGGGACAGACAAGGUCAAGGACUGAAGGAUUCUUCCCUCCCAUCCAGAAGAGACCUUCCUCUCACCAAAAAGACUUUCCUCAAAUUACUUACAGGACCCUUUCUCUACUUCCACACCCUGCUUGGGUGGUUUUUAACAGAAUCACAGCAUGAUGCCACCACAGCCACUCUCUCUGACCCCACUCAUGAGCUCUCCUCCUCUUCCCUGUCAUUCCUAAAGAGCCUGCAUCCUUCCCUCACAGCACUUACCACAUUAGCUACCCCACCAAGUCUGUUACACCACUUAGAGUGCCCAGUUGUGCCAGUGUACCCAACCCCAUUCCUCUGGGGGACAAGAGGGGCUCACUGCCUACACACUUUUCAAUGGAUGGGGACCACAGGCCUUGGCUAAGAUCGAGUCCCAUGUUAUCAGGAAGUUACACCUGCUACAGAAGUACAACACACCAACCAACACAGGGUAAUGUCCAUGACAACUCCCACCAAAUCACACUGAUGCUGUGACUGACGAGGCUUCUCUCCUAUGAACUGCAAUAAACCCCUCCAGCACACUGAAAGGAGCAAGAGAUACCAGGGCAGAAUUGGACGCCUCAUCACCAGCACACACAAAGAUGUUCCCGUCAUCCUCCGGGCUCUGGAAAAUGGCAUUUUUGGUCAGCAACUUGCAGGUGGGCCCAGCACUGAAAGUCUGAACCGGGUUAGAAGAACACACCACAUCUUCAGAGGCCUCUGUCAGUGGGCUGCAAGUCAGUUCCAUCAUCACACAACGCACAUAUGGGUUAUUUUUACCUGUGUGGUAGAAAUACAAAGGUAACCUUUGGAAAAUGUCCUCACAGAUAGGCUUCAGCUGUAGGAAUACAAGCAGCACCACCCUGCAGCUGCCUCCUUUUGCCCUCCCCUGGUUCUUAUCUAUGUGCAGAUGCUCACUGCUGUGGUGGGGGCAGAUGCUGCAUUCCUGCUGUGCCCCCAAGCUGGUGCUGAGCUGAGUGAGUGGCACUGAGAGCCCUGCAGAGCCCCCCGUACGUACCAGGCCGGUACGUGGCCAGGCAGUGCCGUGUGUUGAUCUCGGUUUGGAUAUCGAUGCAGCCCCCGGGCUCCAGGGGCAGGUGAUGGGGCCGGUAGGAGUUGCCAGCUCUCUGCUCCCAAAAGCAGGCUCCUUCCAAGGUCCCAGCCAAUAUCCCGCCGUAGGGCAGCGACGCCGAGGCCACGCGGGGCAGGUAGGACAGUGACACCAUGGGGCACCUGCAAGGGGGACAGGCAAGAGUCAGUGCUGCCAGCUGUGGCUCUGCUGGCAUCCUGCUCGCUGCUGCAGAGCUCCAGCCUCUCCAACUGCACAGCAAAGAAAGGGCCUAAGCAGGCUCCUUCAAGCAAGGAACCCCAGUGGCGUGUCAAGUAUAAAUGGAAUUCAACUUAACUACUGAGCCUUAUGUUUUACAGAGCAUUAGACGGCACACAUCAGAUGAGUGCAAAUCAGUGUUUGAUUCCUGGAGUACAAGAGACAGAAGUAGCAGAAUCUCACACCUUUAUGUGAUUUGUCCUUUCCAAAUUAAAUACUAAACCCAGCUCCAAAACAAAUUCAAUUCUCCUGCUUAUGCUGCACCAGUGGGUCCAUUUCUGCCCCCUGUGUGCCUUAAAAAGAGCACAAGUGCUUGGCACCUGUGUAAGUUAUACAUGAUACAUGAAUUUUUGAACAAGAGAUUCACAUAAACCAACUAAACCCACUGCAAUUGCUGUGUGAAGCUGUGUUUAAGUUAAUGCAUAGAAGUUGAAAGGAACGACAAAUCCUUAUGCCAUACCUGGACUUCUGAGGGACCAGUUCUUGGACAUGAGAGUUGGUGUCCCUCAGAUCAUAUAUCAUGAUAGAGCCAUUGGCCAAUCCAGCGUAGACAUAGUUUGUAUCAUCGAGACACCAGCAGCAGCUCCAGACAGGACGGCCAGCAUUGUAUGUCUGCACCACAGUGUUGGUUGCCAAGCUGCAGAAGAAAAGCAAAGUGUUGGCUGGUUGCACAAGCAUCUACUGAUGAGAAAAAAGCAUAAUUAAGAUUGAUCUUUGGAGACUGGGAGAGGAAAUCUCACAGCAGGGUCUCAGCUGCCUUACUGGCAAGAGAAAGCCAAGUUACUUUUCUGGAAACAAUUAGGAGAAGCAACUCUGGUGUGAUCCCGUAACACCACAUAUUCCUGAGAUCACAGGGCUCAUCUCUUCAGAUUACAUCUCUCAUUAAUUACUUCUCCUCUUUUUACACAAGAGGAACAGUGCUUAUGCCUCAAAAGAACCAAUUUAAGCAAGAGUGAGACAGGGAGUGGGUAAAGGACAGUUGAGAGCACAUUUAUAGUGUUAAUUCUUCCUUCCACAAAUCAAGUUUCUAAAAAAGAGAGCAGUACACAGAGGAGCAUAACCCAGAACAGCAGAUGAAGCUGGUAUCAGAUCAGGGAUUUGCAAAGGGCAGCAUUGUCAACGUGGGUUUUGCACACUGAGAACAGCAUGAGACAGAAGACAGCACAUAUCAGAGUAACCCUGGAUAUCCUUUACAACAUGGGCUUCUCCCUGGGGAAGGUGAUUACACUCAGGACUCCAGAGAAACAAGUAAUUGCUCUCAGGUAAGUGUAAGGGGGAAAACUACAAGGACAAAACCUAGCUGGGGAAAGAGAGAGUUGAUAUCAAAGAAGUGACUAGGUCAAAACAACAAGACCAAAAAAACCCAAAACAAACUCGCAGUGCUAUUUUAAACAAUUGCAAGCCAGAGCAGGAGACAUAAAGACAUCUUGGAUAAUUCUUUUUCGUAGGAUGACUAUGAAAUCAGUAACUAGAGAAGAAAGAUAACCAAAGGAAGAAUAUUCUUUCAGACAGAGACUGAAAAAAGUAUGAAGAUGCUGCUGAAGCAAGCACCUAACUCCAAGACAUCCUGGGAUCAAGCACAAAAGCAAGAGGAUCACAAGCUCGGAUGCAGCCAACCAGGCAGAGAGAGGCAGAGAUGGGAGUCAAGUGUCUGAGCAGACACUGCCAUGAGGAGCCACUCUCCAGAUUAAACCAUGAAAAGAAUAUCAACAUAAUCAGUUGGAAAUGUGACACAUUGACUUCAGCAUCAGAGGCAGCUUUGUUUACUUUUAACUAGUCUAGCAAACAUUUCAACAGGGUCACAGGAAAGCAACAUUCUGUAUAUUUUUGCUGUGGGAUUAAGUUCUCUUCAUUGCUUCACUAGUGAGAAAGAAUUGGGACUAAUCAGUCAAACAACAGACACCUAUCCUGCCCAACCUGGCACGGACAGACAGAUUGCAAAGAUGUUAAUUUAACUCAAUAAGAAUCAAUCAGCCAAUGAAGCUUUGAAGCAGUGUAAGAUUAAGACUGAAGAGCAGCAGAGUAGCAAGAAAACACACUCAUAGGCUGUAAAUUCUAACAGGACCGGACACAUUUUUGUCUCACUCUCUGCAUAAUUAGUCUCCAACCUGCUGGUUUAAGUCUCUGCUAGCUCUAGAGAGCCUCUGGCACAUGCUGUUUAUGAGUUUCAUAUCCCAGAUGAAUUCCAUGCUCUGCAAGAAGUUUAAAAUCUGAGAAGCCAACAUCAGGCUGUGCAAAGAAGAACAGAGCACAAGCUAAACACCCCUUGUUUCUGCUUUAUCCUAUAUAAGUUCCUACACUUCACAUUUCCCUGCAGUAACAGAAAGCCACGUGGACAGUAAAUUUCAUGUCUGUACAUUAUGCUACAUUUAUUCUCUCCACAACUUGGCCAAUCCAUGUUAAAUUACUUGUUCUCCACCGAGUUCUCCACAGGAAAAUUAUCAUGGAGAGGCAGCUCUGUAACACCUUCACCUAAAAGAUGCAAAACCAUCAGUAAGUCCUUCCCUCUGUUAGCUCCCACAUGCUGGAAGAAUAUCCAGAUCUGCUCUCAUCUUUGCAGCAUCUUUCAGAGGGCAGACUAGCAAGUGCUGCAAGACAUUUCCAGCAAGACAGAACAAAAUCCAGCGCAGCCAAAGCCCGCGGGGACGGGGCUCACCUGGUGAGUCUGAGAGUUCCGUCCAGAGCAGCCGAGAGCAGCAAACCAUCGGCUCGAGUGCCGAAAGCCAGGGCCCGGAUCUGCUUGCUGUGGAUGGGGAUGUACUGACUGCUCUUCAGGUUGGUCAAGCUCAUCAUCUUAACACCACAACCUGCCACAGAAGAAGGGUAAAGCAGGUCAUGGUGAAGCAGCACACACACAGGACUGGCUGUUCUGUGCCAGAACUGCAGUGUCUGUACUGCCUGAAGCCUGUGGUGGGAUGAACACGUAAAAGUUAUUUGCUGUUAUGAAUAAGAAUAAAAUCAUUCUUUAAUUCAAAUGGUAACAAGGCUAAAUCCUUAAGGACCCCAGUCACCAAGAGCAAAUUCAGUAUCACUGUUACAACUCCUGUUACAAGGCCUGCUGCUCUUUAGCCAGCUUCUUCAAAGACACUCUUACCCAGAUAAAACCACACAGAGCAGGAUUACAUGGCUAUUUAAGAGAACAAGUGUCACAGCAAAGAAUGGUUACAGGUGAACUUAACCUGCAUGCUACAAGAGUCACCACAAAGCCUCCAUUCAUUCAUUCCUUGGCCUCAAAUGCCAGAAAAAUAAGACCAGUUGAAUGCAGAAAACCACUUUGUUCUGCCUGGAUAAGGCACAUUAACCUCAAACCCAUUAACCAAAUAAAGUAAGUUUCAUCAUUCAGAAAGCAUUUUGCAAAUAAACACCCUCAGACUCCUAAUGCCACAUCUAUUGCCCUGAAAAAGCAACUGGCACUGAUCCAGAUGUCAGGUCACUGGCCCCUGGACAUAACAGUGAGACAAAACCAGGGCUGCCCAUGACUUCUUGGCUCCCUAUUUCCUCUUUAGAAAACAGUGCUCCUAGCAUUCAUAUUAAAAGGGUUUUGCUUUUG